ensembl:lncRNA
UUGUAUUGAUUUUAUUCAUAUUAAAUUAAAAAUAUAUUUUUGACAGAUUCAUGUACCAAAACUGUGGGAAAAAAGUUUUUAAAUGCCAUAGCCUUGGAAAUGGUAAACCUUCAGUUGGAAGAAGCGCUGAAGUUCAUUCAGACAAUAACAUACUGCAAAGCAAAUGGAUGGAAAGAAAAGAGCAGUGCUGUCAUCUGGGGAAUCUCAUCAAGCAAUAACAGCUUUGAUCUAACAUCUCUGGCUGAUGCUCGGCCUAGAACGAGUGACAGGACUGGACAUUUUGAGACUGCAUUCAGAGAAGUCCAUAAAGGCAUAACCACAAACCAAAUAAAUUACCCAACCAAUAUCCAGAUAAAUUAACAGACUGAUGUCAAUUAAAAUCUACAGUAAAUUCCUGCAAAAAUAUUUACCCAAAGCCAUGUACCCUCAGAGCACAGGUGUCAGGGACCUUCACAUCUGUCUGGGUAUACUAGUCUACCUAGCAUCAUGUGAAGUGACCUGCGCUUGUUGUGGCUGCCCAAGAAGAGCAAAGGCUUGUUGGGUUUGUCAAUAAACUGAAUCUGUCGGUAUAGUAUGUAUGCAUUAUCCAAUGCCCAUAGUGGUUCCUUGGACCUUUUGAUAGAAAGGAAAUGUUUAGGCAAACUGGUUUAUCUAAUAUGAAAGGAUAAUAUGAGGAAGAAAAAUACAGUGAGAGUGAGGGAGACAGUAAAUACAGGAUAAAGAGUAACUCAGUAUUGCAACAGGGCCUCAAUAUCUCCAAUGGGUGCAUGAGUUUUGUACAAAAUCUAAAAAUGGCUAGACGGCGAGAUGGAGAGGCGACUGAAAGAUAGAGGUACACCCAAAUAAAGGAAAAAGCACCUCGGAACCAUGAGCUAGAGCAGAGGCUUUUAAAACACAAAGUCCACCAAGUUGUGCUAAAUACAGUUAAGAGGAAAACCGUGGGGGACUACAAAACCUGCAAGCUUUUUAAAAUCUGAAUUCACUGUUCAUAUUACAUAUAUAUACAGAAAUAAAAACCAACAACAAAACCGAUCACACACAAUAAUAUUUAACAAAAGAAAAACAGUAAUAUGCCCGGGAUGAAACCAAAAUGGAACCAUAGCCAAAAGCAUUGUUCACCCUCUAUUUACAAAUGCACCUGGCCAACUCUUCCACUAUCUAUAAAAAUAUUAUUCACAUUUUCUUGGUUGAAUAACAGUAGUAAAAUUAGGAACAACUAUUCUGCGUUAUGUCAUAAAAAGAAACCCCCGCCCCCCCAUAUUAGUUUAGUCUCACCAUCAAUUCACCCUGUAUUGUAAACUGUGCUUACGCAACUACUGCUGCCUUCUGUGGUUAUAAAGGAAGGAAUAUACCAUAAUACCCCAUUAAAAUGAGCUGAGUGUUACAAAAGUACAGCUGCUUGUCUUAUAUGAUGAAUUCGAUGGAACAGAGAUGCGUAUUCACUAAAACAAUAAAGCAAGUUUUAAGCUAUGAGAUGUACUGUGUCCUCGCUUCCAUUCAGUAUUCACUUCAAUACGUUCAAUACUAAAUCCUAUCUAUGAGGAAUGGAGUACACCAGACCAUGGACAAAUAGCAAGGCUUAUUGGAUCAAACUGUACAUAUCGACACCUUUACAAUUGCAAAACUUGACCGUAGAAAGUAAUAUUUCACACUGUUAAAAAUUACAGGAACAGCUUCCAUCACGUACCGUAGAUUUUUACUCCAAGUUGUGUAUCUAGGACUGGACCCAGUUUGGAGUGACAAUGAGAUACAAAAGCAUGAAAGGGGCCUUCUCUACAAUGUCUGUGGCCCCUCUCACACCAACACAGUUAAAGAAACUAAAAUAUAUAUUGCCAUAAUGAAGCCCCCAAUGAGAGAGUAAGAAACAUUGCCAUCAACACAAUAUACAAUACUCUUACAAAUGUCAUGGUUACAUCUGUUUGGAUUAUUAUACCCCAAAACCAUAAAUACAGUAGUAGCUGAACCAAAUGGGACACUUUCAACAUUGGUGAUUAAAACGUGUGUGCAAUAUCAGUGUCGAAAGGAGAGAAUAUUUGUGCUCGUUUUUUUUACAUAAACAGUUUCACUAAAGCGACUGUCGAAGACAAAGUUCGUUAAAGUAUUAUGACACAACAACUUCUGAAACUCCUCAUCACACACUUAAGUGUGGUAUUGUUUAGUUUGCUCUUCAUCUGGUUUACAGCUGUUAGUUUUAAAUACACACAACUCCUCUUCAACAUCAGUGUUUGCUACAUACAUUUCUUUAGUCUUCUCUUUUAGGUGAAUUAAAACUCCAGUGUCUGCUUCUCAGAAACCCUAUUGAAACAUUUAUAUUGUGACAGUGAUGGAAUGCUAAUAUCUCUGUCCUUUAACCUGCUCAAGAUUAGAAACUAUUGCCUAUUUGCCAGUAUUUCUCUAUGCCAUGUUGGUUGGUGAUUUUCUUUGACAUGAUUUCCCCACAGAACAGAAAGAGAAGCUGAUACAAGGAAAGCUAGGCAUCCUGCUAAGCUGAAAUUCCCUUUUGAUCCAAUGCUGGGGAUUUUAAAAGCAUGGGCCAGGUAGCAAACAACACCAGUAAGGGUGUCAUGUAAGAAUUCAUGUAAGAAUCGGCCACUGUUUCCAUUCAAAUGAAAUACCUAUAAUUAUUAAAAAUACCAAUGCAUUGUGGUAUAGUAGUAGUAGUUUUCCUGCCUUAAAAUGGUAAUGAAGUUACCAUGCAGCUUUUCUAUGUAGAUAUUGUGUGGCUCCAUAUCAGUAGACUGGUUGUAGGCCAGUACAUUAUUUCCUAGACUGCUGAUUGGCCAGUUCAAACCUGUUUAAAAAAGAAGUCUAGGCUUUGGACACAUACUGUUAACUGGAAGUUAGAAUGUCAGUGCAGUUACUUUAAGGUAUAUAUUUUUCCCCAUAUAUGUUUUCUACAACCAGGCUUAAGUGUUCUGUAGCUUGUCUUUCCACUGACCAAUGAGAUCCAUCGUUAUUCCACCCAACAUUGCUCUCAUAGGCUUUCAUUGCAUGAACAUGUUGAUGAUCAUAGUCUGAGGGAAAACACACCGGUAAUCUCUCAAACUAACAUCCACGAAGGGCUGUCACGAUUAUGACAUUUUAGUUGACGAUUAAUUGUUGCACAAAUAAUUGCGAUUAACAAUUACAUUUUCUAUAUUGUAAAUGUUACGCCAUUAUAACAGUGUAAGCCUAACAAUAUUGUAAAAAUACACAUGGAGGAUCUGGAGAUGGCUCUUCAGAUUUGUGAUGUUUGAGCUUCUGACCGCCACCUCUUUCAAUUUGGCUUAAAACCCAAAUCCUCUCAGAGCGGUGCAGUUGUGUUUGGCUUUGGAUCUACCACUAAAUCAAAGUUGUUAACGAUUGCUGUUGACAAAAUGAAACCACAAAACAAUGACAAUAACAUUUUGCUGCGUAUCGUGACAUUUCACCUCCCGCUCUGCUGCAAAUAUUAUAGCUUAGUUAUUUGAAACAGCUUUCCUUAAGUAAAAACCUGUUUCAGUGUUUUAUAUGCAAUGGGACAACAUAUUUGUAUCCACACAUUUUAACACGCAUUAUCUAAUUAGGAAAUAUGGUUACAAAUGACAAAAUGACAAUUCAAACUAGGUUUACACAUAGUAAAAUUAAGAAGAAAACAGGUUUCAGUAAAUGAUCUGCGCCUUUAACUUUACGCAGAGCUGUCAAACGCUCUUCUGCUCCCAUGAGCUGGAUAUCCUAACUGAUGGAAACUGACAUAAUUUGCAUGGUAUUUGUUGAGACGUUUUUAACAUUGGCCUAAAAAGACUAUAUUCAGUUUGGAAACAUGAUUUUGGAAUCAAAAUAUUGUGCAAAAAUAUUAAAAGAUUGUUGUCCAUAAAAUUGUGAUCUGGCUCAAAUAAUCACGAUCUGGCAAUUAUGUAAUAAUUGCGACAGCCCUAAUUCCACUUAUCCAUUGCACACUUUUAUAAGAUGAUACAUAGAUGCAGUAAAAACUAAUCAUCUUAAAUGAGAAAAAGAAUGCGAUGUUAACAUCAAAAACUAAAAAAGAACAAACAGUGUAUCUUAGGAUUGCACUGAUAAAAUGUGAGAAACACUAACAUCCUUUCAGAAAGCUAUGUCUACUAGACAGUUGGAGUUGGACACUUGUGGUUUUACACGCAACCUUAGCCUCAGGUAGUUGCCUGAGGCCUUAUCCAUCAGACCUACUAUCCUCUCAUAGACUUUUAAAUGUAGCUUUGCCUUCAAGGACUAUAAGCUCGGUAGUGAUCCUACCAAUGUAGCUUUUUCCAGAAGGACCAGGCCCUGUGCUGCCUGAGCUACCUGAACAGGCAUUUAUUCUCUUAAUGGCUACUGUAGUUAGCUACCGCCACUGUCUGGUUAGCUACCGCCACUGUAGGUGUGCCUGGUAGCUAACCAGACACUGAGCUCUCCAGUGCUUCAAAUGGACCUCACUUGGCAUAAUGGAAUGUACUGUACUUGGAGAUAACCACACAGUCCAGUAAACAUUUGUGUUAGCUGAACUUAGAAGAGUUCUCAGAAACACAAUGCUUUAUCAAAGACUCCCUGGCUUUUCCUUCUGUUUCCUUCCACUUUUCACUCAAUUUCAAUUAGAGUUUAGAUCCAAUGAAUGCGUUUCUAGGUCUGCUGUCAGUGGUUCUACACCGUUACUAAUGCCAGUGGCAACCGAGAACAACCCAACGCUGCUCACUUUUACCGCCACAGCCAUUCACUGCUGCUAGUCUUCAUUAAAGUGCUCCAUCUGUUGAUCGUCCUUCAUUAUGCAAAUGCUCUGAGAAAAAACUAACAGAAGCCACAAUGCAGAAAAAGUGUAUAAUGCCAUGGUGUAGUUCUCUUUCUGCCUAUCUGCAAUGCAAUAGAUAAAUAAAUUCACAUAAACGGAUGGAGAAUCGGUUUGGCUAUGCCAGAAUGGUUAAGUGCUAUCAAAUCAACACAACGCAAAAAGGCCUGAAUCAAACAUCUUUCUACUUGACAGUAUUUCCCCUUUACCAGCAGCAAAAACAAUCAUCUGGCAGUAUUCAGUGAAACAUAGAUCUGGCCUUUCAGAAAUAUGGUGUGUUUACCUGUAUGGUAUUGUCAAACAUUAAAAAGAAAAAUGUUCAAUGUACUUGCUUGCUGUAGCUCCUGUUUCCUUGAUGAAAAUGUCAUUGUCAAGGACGGACAUUUCUUCAGAUAUGUUGGUGCAGUUUCAUUCUCAGUGUUGAGUUCAAACUGUCGGAGAGGGGUGUCACGUACAGUGUUGAACAGAGAGACAUUUGGUGUUGGAGCAAAACAGUUUUUUAAGGGGCCGGUUCGGUGUUCAGACAGUCAGGUUUUAGUUGUAGUACCAUUUUUUUUUUUUUUAUGGCAUGAACAUUAUACAGUAAAACUACAAGAUUGUAACUGUCCUCAUCUGAUGCGAUCCAUCUGCAAUUUAGGUCCAAAAUGGUUUGGUCUCACAAAACAUUUCCGCCAUUGAGGACAGUUGCUUGCCAUGUACAAUUUCUUUCCAGUGUAUUUCCAUGCCCUUACUCCUCAUUUAGUCAUGCUUGACCACAUCCUUUUCCUUUCUAAUUUGCCUAGAAGCAACACUGUCUCACCUCAAUGCCAGGAUUCCGCAUAUUGGCCGUAGUUAUCUCCCUUAAUGCCAAGGACCAGACCAGGAUUUCAGACAGUCUGUUGUCUAUUGCCUGGUUAACAGCCUUUAAAUGGCAACAAUUCUUCAGUUUUUGUAACCAGCUACACAUGGACGUUGCAACAUACAGCAGCAGUGGUUCCAUAUUCUAAAACAGCACUGAUCCAGUGUUUUGUCAUUUUCUGCUUUAAAUGUAUGUGGGUUUGAAGUUAGAACACCAUGAUUGGGAAGCUAAGACUCUUUCCUACUUCUUAUUGAACCCUUUUCUGUGGGACAUUUUGUCUGAUAUAUAUAUAGCACAUUCCAACCAGCCAGCCAGCCAGACGGGUGACAAAUGAAAGGAAAACCACCUUAGUGAUCUCUGUAAGGCGUUGGGCCACCAUGAGCAGCUCCAGUUCACCUUCACAUAGAUCCUACAAGCCUCUACAGUCUCUACAACUGGAGGGAUGGGUGGCCUUAGCACAUGAUUCAAUUGGGUUGAGAUCUGGUGACUGCUGUGGCCUUAUCACAUGAAUAAAUUGGGUUGAGAUCUGGUGACUGCUGUGGCCUUAGCACAUGAUUCAAUUGGGUUGAGAUCUGGUGACUGCUGUGGCCAUACGAUUCAAAUCAUUUUCAUAUUCAUCAAACCGUUCUGUGACUCCUCGUGCCCUGUGGAUGGGGACAUUGUCACCCUGGAAGAGACCCAAUAAUGACCCUCUGUCACUCCGAUCCUUUCCUCUUGCCAUCUUCAUCAAAAGUCGAGGUCAACCGGGCCUGCUGAGCAUUUUUAUACAUGCCACAUAGCAUGAUAGGAUAUUAAUUGCUUAAUUGCAUCAUCUGGUAUGCCUCCAUGGAAGCGUCUUCAUUCGCCAUGUUCUUCAACUCAUUCAGGUUUUUAGUUUAAUUUGUCACCCAUCUGUACGUACACACACGUACACACACACACACAGUGUAGCAUUGUGUAAUUGCUAAAUGACUCAUUGUUCCCAUGGCACUGCACCAAUGCCUUGCCUGGUUAUCUCCACCACUUAACAAUGUCAAUGGAGCUCCUGGUCCAAACUGGAAUGCAAACCGUGCUAACGUUAACUCUAUAUCACACGUGUUCAUGUAUUGAAUGAGAACAGGGUUAUUGAUG